GGGACUAGGGUUUUUGUGUGCUUAGUUGGCUUGCUUUGCGACUUCAACCUCAGCGAAUUUCCUCUAUUGCGAGCCAUGGCAGAGCAGACCGAGAAGGCAUUUUUGAAGCAGCCCAAGGUAUUCCUGAGCUCGAAGAAAUCAGGGAAAGGAAAGAGGCCUGGAAAGGGAGGCAAUCGGUUCUGGAAGAGCAUUGGACUGGGCUUUAAAACACCCAGAGAGGCAAUUGAAGGGACAUAUAUUGAUA
rnacentral:misc_RNA from 1 species